rnacentral:rRNA from 1 species
AGAGUUUGAUCCUGGCUCAGAACGAACGCUGGCGGUAUGCCUAACACAUGCAAGUCGAACGCGAACGAAACCUUCGGGUUUCAAGUAGAGUGGCGCACGGGUGAGUAACACGUGGAUAACCUGCCCUAGGGUCCGGAAUAACACUUCGAAAGGGGUGCUAAUACCGGAUAAGCCCACGACUUCUUCGGGAGAUGUGGGAAAAGAUUUAUUGCCUUAGGAUGGGUCCGCGGUCCAUUAGCUAGUUGGUGGGGUAAUGGCCUACCAAGGCUGCGAUGGAUAGCUGGUCUGAGAGGAUGAUCAGCCACACUGGAACUGAGACACGGUCCNGANUCCUACGGGAGGCAGCAGUGGGGAAUUUUGCGCNANGGGGGAAACCCUGACGCAGCAAUACCGCGUGAAGGAUGAAGGCCCUUGGGUCGUAAACUUGUGUCAGUGGGGAAGAAAUGCCCGUAAGGGAGGNGAAGGACCCACAAAGGAGCNC